CCUACGGGAGGCUGCAGUGGGGAAUAUUGGACAAUGGGGGCAACCCUGAUCCAGCCAUGCCGCGUGUGUGAAGAAGGCCCUCGGGUUGUAAAGCACUUUCAGUGAGGAAGAACGCCUGGUGGUUAAUACCCAUCAGGAAAGACAUCACUCACAGAAGAAGCACCGGCUAACUCCGUGCCAGCAGCCGCGGUAAUACGGAGGGUGCGAGCGUUAAUCGGAAUUACUGGGCGUAAAGCGCGCGUAGGUGGCUUGAUAAGCCGGUUGUGAAAGCCCCGGGCUCAACCUGGGAACGGCAUCCGGAACUGUCAAGCUAGAGUGCAGGAGAGGAAGGUAGAAUUCCCGGUGUAGCGGUGAAAUGCGUAGAGAUCGGGAGGAAUACCAGUGGCGAAGGCGGCCUUCUGGACUGACACUGACACUGAGGUGCGAAAGCGUGGGUAGCAAACAGGAUUAGAUACACCUGUAGUC
rnacentral:rRNA from 1 species